AUUGAACGCUGGCGGCAGGCCUAACACAUGCAAGUCGAGCGAGCGGCGGACGGGUGAGUAAUGUAUGGGGACUGCCCUAUAGAGGGGGAUAACCACUGGAAACUGUGGCUAAUACCGCAUACUAUCGGAUAACCCAUAUGGUUUGAGCUAGUAGGUGGGGUAAAGGCUCACCUAGGCGACGAUCUCUAGCUGGUCUGAGAGGAUGAUCAGCCACACUGGGACUGAGACACGGCCCAGACUCCUACGGAGGCAGCAGUGGGGAAUAGUGCACAAUGGGCGAAAGCCUGAGGCAGCCAUGCCGCGUGUAUGAAGAAGGCCUUAGGGUUGUAAAGUACUUUCAGCGGGGAGGCGUUACCCGCAGAAGAAGCACCGGCUAACUCCGUGCCAGCAGCCGCGGUAAUAC
rnacentral:rRNA from 1 species